AUGAUCAAGAAACCACCUGUUUUUAGCAUUGAUUUCCUUGGUUUUGGAUUUGACGAUUUUAAGAGUGCAAAAGCAGCUGAACCACAUGCAGAGCUCAGAGAAGCUGAAGAAGAUGUGGCUGAAAUGGAGAGAGCACACGGAAUGCAAGAGUACAGUGAGGCGCCGGGCUGGCCCCCGUCAGCACGCAAGGGCAGCUGGAAGCAAGGAGACAGUGCACGCUACUGGCCAAGCACAAGUGCCCAGAGAAAAGCCCCACCCCUUCAGGAGGCGUGCAGACCAGUGGUGAGCCCAGAAAGACUUCAUCAUGUCAGAGUCUUAGCGGUGAGCAUCUGCAUUGGCUGUGGAAGGAAACCUUGCAUCUCCCACACAACGGAUCUGGGCAAGGCAAAGGAGCAUGAAGAGCCACAGGCCACCGGGGGCUUCUCAGACCUGGUCCAGACUCGGGAAGAGAGUGCCCCAGUGAGACCAAAACUUCUGCAGGUUAGGGACUGUGUCUUCACACUUUAGAAGAGCCCAACACAGCAUGGACUUCCCAGAAGGUGACCUUCUGGCCAUUCCUGUGACUUAUCUCUGAAUCCAAUUCAAGCUCUCCAUACCGUAUGCAUAAUUCAUCAGCGGUCCAGCUCCCUAACAGCAUCAGAAUACCUUGAUCCCUGAAACGGUCGAAUGCACCAUCCAGCACGAAACUGGGAUUACUCUUAUC
rnacentral:lncRNA from 1 species